AUGAGGACCUUGUGCUGGAACUGUCACGGGAUUGGCGACCCCGCAACAGUGAGGGAGCUUUGGGAGCUCAUCAGGGAGUCUGCACCGUUGGUGGUUUGCAUUGUGGAGACACAACUGUCAAAACAGCGAGUGGAGGGUCUGACAGCGACGUUAGGCUUUGAGGGAGGUUUUGCAGUGGCUAGCUCUGGGAAGAGCGGAGGUUUGGCAGUAUUCUGGAAGGACGGUUUAAAUCUCAGAGUGAAAAAUUUCUCACGUUAUCACAUUGAUGCGUGGGUCGCUGAGCCGGGGAAGGAGGAUUGGAGGCUGACUUGUUUUUAUGGGGAGGUUAGUAGAAGUCUGAGACAAAAUACAUGGGACACGAUUGCAAGACUCCGUGGAGAAUCUACACUUCCAUGGGUUUGCAUCGGAGACUUAAUGAGGUUUUGA
rnacentral:rRNA from 1 species